GUGCUCGCUUCGGCAGCACAUAUACUAAAAUUGGAACGAUACAGAGAAGAUUAGCAUGGCCCCUGUGCAAGGAUGACAUGCAAAUUCGUUCAUGAAGCAUUCCAUAUUUUU